GGGCAACCAUCCAGGUCUGGAUCUGUUUUUACACACUAGAAAGAGUUAUUUCUAUUGUCUCAGACUGACAGUUCCUCCCUCUGAGAAACCACACACAGUGAAAAAGUGAUUAAAAGGAAAAAUGCAAUGAA